GUGUCCCAAUUUAGACUUUGUUAGUUGUCUAUAAAAAGUUCAAAUGCUUCCAACGCAUGCUACUGUACACUAGGUACAAAGGGCCUAAUGUCCUGGGUAAAUUAUUAAUCCUCAUCUUUCAUAAACAAAAAUGUUCCGUAUUUUUAGUAAACAGGUCUGUAAAACUCAGGGGUAGUACAGUCAAAGGCUUAUGAACCCUCCUCCGAACUUUGUCAUCUUUGGUGUGGUAUUUCCUCUCUCUGUCCAAUGUCCUCAUGCAAACUGGAGGUGCUGAAACUUCUGGAACCAAUCAAACAAGUGUUGAAGAACAUAACAUAAGAAUAAAAGAAAACCCAGUGAAUCCCAGGAAUGAAUCUAAAGAAAUCUACUCUGAUGACUGCUUUAUUGAAGAUUCAGAAGAGAGGGGUUGGGGGGGGGAUUGUAUGAGUAGAAUCCAAAUGCAAUAAAAAGUGCAAUUAACAAUAUUUGAUAGUUGCUGUAAAGCUGAGAGCAGGACCUGUUGCUCAUGGCCAAAUUACAGGUUGGAGCUAUUCAGAUGGAAUAUAAUAUACUGCUAUUUCAAAUAUCCUCUGCAGUUUUAACUUAUAUAUAUAUAUAUAUAUAUGUAUAUACACUUCCUGGAUGGAAUUCUUGGAGUGAGUUGCUGCGUACGGCUCUGCAGCUACUAGCUUUCAUCUCUGAAAGAGAUGAAUAUGUGUCUCAGCCAAAAAUUGUAUGGAUGAACAUAUGGCUAAAUUCCAAGGCUGUUAUGCAGCCUUUUAUAGUCCUUCCUUCUCAGACCUAUAGAUGGGCCUUAUAAUGCCAUUUUGUCCUGUAUGUGUCAAUGAAAAUGCCCUCCUUUCUCCAAUAGCUCACAUAAAUCUCUAGUUGAUGCAAAGCAUCAUCACAGCACGAAGAGAAAGCCUGACAGAAGAGAGAGACAGUCAGUUCCUGAAGACCCUUGAUGAAUCAGAACAAGAAAGGAAUAAUGUUCAGAGCCCUAGAGAGUAGCAUGUCCUGGAAAGGUAGAUGAAGAGUGGCACCUACAUGAGCCCAGCCCAAGGGGAAGAGUUCCUGUAAAGCUGUUGAAGUCUGUACUGGGUCUGGCUGGAAUGUUAACUUUCCCGGCAGCAGCCCACACAGUGCCGUACUCUGUACUUGUAGCU